AGUGAACGCUGGCGGUAGGCCUAACACAUGCAAGUCGAACGGCAGCACAGUAAGAGCUUGCUCUUACGGGUGGCGAGUGGCGGACGGGUGAGGAAUACAUCGGAAUCUACUUUUUCGUGGGGGAUAACGUAGGGAAACUUACGCUAAUACCGCAUACGACCUACGGGUGAAAGCAGGGGAUCUUCGGACCUUGCGCGAUUGAAUGAGCCGAUGUCGGCUUAGCUAGUUGGCGGGGUACAGGCCCACCAAGGCGACGAUCCGUAGCUGGUCUGAGAGGAUGAUCAGCCACACUGGAACUGAGACACGUACCAGACUCCUACGGGAGGCAGCAGUGGGGAAUAUUGGACAAUGGGCGCAAGCCUGAUCCAGCCAUACCGCGUGGGUGAAGAAGGCCUUCGGGUUGUAAAGCCCUUUUGUUGGGAAAGAAAAGCAGCAGGUUAAUACCCCGCUGUUCUGACGGUACCCAAAGAAUAAGCACCGGCUAACUUCGUG
rnacentral:rRNA from 1 species